GACAUUGUUACGGUUGGGGUUUAGCUGAGUGGCAGUGUUACAUGUUGACCUCCAGAAGCAGGGAGAAGACCAGGGCAGAAAAACAGGAUGGUGAUUCCAGCAGUACCAGGGUAGCGGCAGUAGCAGCCACUAGAACCAGAACUAUUUCGGCUUUUCAUCAAUUAUACGGCACAGCGUGAGAGGAUCUGAAGAAAGUUCCAUUUACUGUUUUGUACUUGUUGGAGAAAAUUGUCCUUUUGCAACACAUUUUUGCAGUGAAAUAAAUUGGUGCCAUUUUGACUGUGUGGUCGGUGCAGGUACUGCUUGUGCACCAUGUCACCUGCCGAGGCAGGCCUCCUCUGGGCAGUUCCUGCAAGGACAAUGUGCCACAUGAACCAGGAAGAUGCGGUGAGCUGCAGGGACCAUAAGCCAUUGGAAUUACUGCCAUAGGGGAUCAGGGCAGCUAAAAGUGAAGUCAAAGGAAUUACGCAGACAGCCUGUCUUUAGCAAAACAGACAAAGAAAUGGACAAGGCAGCAAAAAGUACAGUAGAAGACGGCAGGAAGAGACGAUAUCGACUGUAAACGUUUGUCAAUUAAAACAAGCUUCAUGAGGGCCUGAACAUCGGCUCAUUUUUAUGGUCCUACUGUAUAUAGGAUUGAUUUACUAGAACUUUACAACCAAUUCAUUUACUGGACUAAAAUUACAUACAAGUUCUAGCUAAGGUCUAUUGUUUUAUCAAUAGGAUGUUAAAUGCAAUGAGCUGGACACAAGGCGAAUGCAAUUACUGAGGGUCUAUUGUAAAACAGUAAUUAGGUUAUUUGAGGUCUACAGUAUGUUUCACUAACAUCACUAAUAGGAAGGUUGGGGUGCUCCUUACUGGCAACAACCCCUUCCAACAACCCCCUUCCCACCAGAUGUAACUAUUACCAAGAACUGUUAACUCAAACACUAAAGUUAAUAUUUUGAUAGGUAUUUUUCAUCAAUGUUUGUAAGCCAAAACCAGGAGUGUGUCCAAAACAAAGGAGGGGUGCAAAUAUUUCCAUUAUACUUUUUGACUCUGUUUGUUCCACUCCCAGUUUUGACUAAAAACCAAAUGCUGACCUAAAUACUGCCAUAUGAAAGUGGCCUAACACACAUAGGGACUACCAAUCUUCAAAUCCAUUUGCCAGGUCAGCUAUCGUAAAUUUGACUGGGUUUGGCUGAAAUUGUAUUUUGAAUAUACCUUAUGGAUUUGUAGCUCCUGCUCAGUGUUUACUUUGGAAGACAUAGCCAGCCACCAUAGCCAGACAACCUUAACCGGAUAACACAUUGCCAAGAGAGGAAGAGCCAAGCGUGUGACCAAAUGCUGCAAAGAUGAAUUCAGAGGCUCCAUCAGUGAAGAGUAAGUAAAGAGUUAGCAAGUAAUUAGGAAGGCGCUCCAAAGAUGCUAGUCUUUGUGAAAAAGCAAGGGUUCCGAUAUAACCAAUUCAGACCAAACUUCCUCAGUGCCAAGUACUCUGAGACAGGCCUCAAGUCCCGAGCCAGUACUGGAGAGACUAAUAACUUAAAGAACUAGGCCCAAGUGUACAACUCUUCCUGGAGAUACCUGUACAAAGUGACCCCAGCCAUACUGAAUAGUGCAGAGCAGCACCACAUAAAUCAUCUAUCAUCCAACGAGUGUGUGAGUCUUUCAAGAAAGCUUGAAGAAAGAUG